rnacentral:rRNA from 1 species
CAGUAGUCAAGCAGAAAAUGAUGAAUGUCAUAGAUUAGAUUUAUAUUUAUUCUAUAAAUGAAAGUGUAAGCAUUCCACCUCAAGAGUAAUUUGGCAACAUUGGAACUGAAAUCAUUAGACCGUUUCUGAAACCAGUAGUGAAGUAUGUUGUUUAAUUUGAUAAUCCGCAAAAAACCUUACCACAAUUUGAAUAUUUAUAUUAGAAAAAAAAAUAAUAUAUUUACAAGCGUUGCACGGCUGUUUCUAGUUAAUGUCGCGAGAUUUUGGUUAGGUCCAUUAAAUUAACGCAAACCCUUACUUUAUUUUUAUAUAAAGUAGUUCUCCGCUAGAUUGGAUAAGAUAACAGGGAUUAAGACAAGUCAUCAUGGCCUAAAUAUUGUGGGCUAUAGACGUGCCACA